rnacentral:rRNA from 1 species
AACGAACGCUGGCGGCAUGCCUAACACAUGCAAGUCGAACGAGACCUUCGGGUCUAGUGGCGCACGGGUGCGUAACGCGUGGGAACCUGCCCUUAGGUUCGGAAUAACUCCCCGAAAGGGGUGCUAAUACCGGCUAAUGUCUUCGGACCAAAGAUUUAUCGCCUGUGGAUGGGCCCGCGUUGGUUUAGCUAGUUGGUAGGGUAAAAGCCUACCAAGGCGACGAUCCAUAGCUGGUCUGAGAGGAUGAUCAGCCACACUGGGACUGAGACACGGCCCAGACUCCUACGGGAGGCAGCAGUGGGGAAUAUUGGACAAUGGGCGAAAGCCUGAUCCAGCAAUGCCGCGUGAGUGAUGAAGGCCUUAGGGUUGUAAAGCUCUUUUACCCGGGAUGAUAAUGACAGUACCGGGAGAAUAAGCUCCGGCUAACUCCGUG